AUCGGGACAGGGAGAGGGAGAGACACGGAGCUGAAUUCUCCGGCAAGUAGCUGCGAUCGGCUUCAGAGAGUGAGCUCAGAGCCGGUGUGUGGGAGCGUCGCUGGGAGAAAGGAGCGGACAGAAUUCACAAAUCUCGGAUAGAGGUACUCAUGGAGUUCCUGACUCAAUAGACUUGCCAACUGCUGGCUGGGACGAUGGUUGGUCAGCCGGAAAGACACAGUCAGGGAGGUCGGAGUCUUCAAUCAAUCCUGCUGCCAGGUAUUCCUGAUGUCCCUGACUCAGCAGAAUUCCCAAUUCCUUCUCGUCCAUCACCACAUUGAAGCUGGUUGGUCAGCCAGAGAGAGAUGGAGAGUGAGAUCUGGAGCCUUCAGUAAAUCCUGCAGCCGGUACUCAGGAGGUUCCUGAAUCAAUAGACUUCCCAACUGCUGUGUGUCUCAUCCAUCACCUCAUUGAAGAUGGUUGGUCAGCCAGGGAGACAAAGGGCAGGGAGAUCUGGAGCCUUCAAUAAAUCCUGCAGUGAGGUAAUCAGGAUGUUCCUAACUCCUGUCUCAUCCAUCACCUCAUUGAAGCUGGUUGGUCAGCCAGAGAGAGAGAGAGAGAUAGAGAGAGGGAGACCUGGAGCCUUCAGUCAAUCCUGCA